GCCUUCGUGGUGUAGUGGUUAGCACGCUCGACGUGUAUUCGAGAGGACGAUGGUUCGAGUCCCGGCGAGGGCA
rfam:Stegodyphus mimosarum contig63665, whole genome shotgun sequence.